UUUUUUUUGUGUUUUGUUUUGUUUUGAAGAAAGUGGGGGGGUUUUAGGCUUCAGGAGGAAGUUGUUGAAAGAACUGUGAAGAUCAAGACUUUGAAUUUUUUUGUGGGGGUUUAUUAUUUUGAGGUUGUGAAAAAGGGUAUUCUGGAAUCUUUGAUUUUUCACUUGUGUGAAAAAGUUGGAGUCUUUUUUGGGGUUUUAGCUAGUUACUUUAUCCAGUUCAUAAAAGCUCUAAUACUAGAGAGUUUUGAAUUGGGAUUUUGAAGGGUUGUUGAAAGAACUGUGAAGAUCAAGACUUUGAAUUUUUUUGUGGGGGUUUAUUAUUUUGAGGUUGUGAAAAAGGGUAUUCUGGAAUCUUUGAUUUUUCACUUGUGUGAAAAAGUUGGAGUCUUUUUUGGGGUUUUAGCUAGUUACUUUAUCCAGUUCAUAAAAGCUCUAAUACUAGAGAGUUUUGAAUUGGGAUUUUGAAGG
rnacentral:misc_RNA from 1 species